rnacentral:rRNA from 1 species
GACGAACGCUGGCGGCGUGCCUAACACAUGCAAGUCGAGCGAGGAGGAGGAAGCUUGCUUCCGAAUCCUAGCGGCGGACGGGUGAGUAACGCGUGAGCAAUCUGCCUUUUACAGGGGGAUAACGCAUCGAAAGAUGUGCUAAUACCGCGUAAGACCACAGUACCGCAUGGUACAGGGGUCAAAGGAGCAAUCCGGUAAAAGAUGAGCUCGCGUCCGAUUAGCUAGUUGGUGAGAUAACAGCCCACCAAGGCGACGAUCGGUAGCCGACCUGAGAGGGUGAUCGGCCACAUUGGAACUGAGACACGGUCCAGACUCCUACGGGAGGCAGCAGUGGGGAAUAUUGGGCAAUGGGCGAAAGCCUGACCCAGCAACGCCGCGUGAGGGAAGAAGGGUUUCGGCUCGUAAACUUCUUUAAGUGGGGAAGAUAGUGACGGUACCCACAGAAUAAGCCACGGCUAACUACGUG